rnacentral:tRNA from 1 species
GGAUGGGUGGCCGAGUGGUUUAAGGCUCUGGUCUUGAAAACCAGCGUACGGGAAACCGUACCGUGGGUUCGAAUCCCACCCCAUCCGCCA